rnacentral:rRNA from 1 species
UACGUAGGUGGCGAGCGUUGUCCGGAAUUAUUGGGCGUAAAGAGCAUGUAGGCGGCUUAAUAAGUCGAGCGUGAAAAUGCGGGGCUCAACCCCGUAUGGCGCUGGAAACUGUUAGGCUUGAGUGCAGGAGAGGAAAGGGGAAUUCCCAGUGUAGCGGUGAAAUGCGUAGAUAUUGGGAGGAACACCAGUGGCGAAGGCGCCUUUCUGGACUGUGUCUGACGCUGAGAUGCGAAAGCCAGGGUAGCGAACGG